UCACUGUGAACAGAUUAAAUUUUCUGAUAAAAAUUGAAAUAGGAUCCAAGAAUUUUUGCAUAAUUGUCCCAUCAUCCUUGCAUGAAUUCGGUUCCCUGCUGACGUUUCUUGUUAUUACCUUCCCUUUUGUCUCUCUUAUAGGUAUCUAAUUCAGGAGUGAGUUAGCAUAGAGUGACGAUCAAUUAAUGUUCUGCAACCAAGUACCAG
rnacentral:misc_RNA from 1 species